rnacentral:rRNA from 1 species
CUGCCUCAUACAGGGGGAUAACAGCUAGAAAUGACUGCUAAUACCGCAUAAGCGCACAGGACCGCAUGGUCCGGCGUGAAAAACUCCGGUGGUAUGAGAUGGACCCGCGUCUGAUUAGCUGGUUGGUGAGGUAACGGCCCACCAAGGCGACGAUCAGUAGCCGGCCUGAGAGGGUGAACGGCCACAUUGGGACUGAGACACGGCCCAAACUCCUACGGGAAGCAGCAGUGGGGAAUAUUGCACAAUGGGGGAAACCCUGAUGCAGCGACGCCGCGUGAAGGAAGAAGUAUUUCGGUAUGUAAACUUCUAUCAGCAGGGAAGAAAAUGACGGUACCUGACUAAGAAGCCCCGGCUAACUACGUGCCAGCAGCCGCGGUAAUACGUAGGGGGCAAGCGUUAUCCGGAUUUACUGGGUGUAAAGGGAGCGUAGGCGGUUUAGCAAGUCAGAAGUGGAAGCCCGGGGCUCAACUCCGGGACUGCUUUUGAAACUGUUGAACUAGAUUGCAGGAGAGGUAAGUGGAAUUCCUAGUGUAGCGGUGAAAUGCGUAGAUAUUAGGAGGAACACCAGUGGCGAAGGCGGCUUACUGGACUGUAAAUGACGCUGAGGCUCGAAAGCGUGGGGAGCAAACAGGAUUAGAUACCCUGGUAGUCCACGCCGUAAAC